rnacentral:lncRNA from 1 species
AGCAUAGUAUAGCAUAGUAUAGCAUGGAAUGGUAUAGCAUAGUAUAGCAUGGUAUAGUAUAGCAUUUUAUAGAUAGCGCUGGUUAUAGUAUAGUAUAGUACUAGAUAAUCCAUCCUGGACCUGACUGAGUCUGGACAGUAUAGAUAACAGCAGUUACAGUAGAGUAUCAACCUGGACCUGACUGAGUCUGGACAGUAGAGAUAACAGCAGAUACAGUAGAGUAUAACCUGGACCUGACUGUGACUGAGCUGGACAGUAGAGUAGAGUACCAACCUGGACCUGACUGAGUCUGGACCUGAGUCUGGACGUAGAGUACCAACUUGGACCUGACUGAGUCUGGACAGUAGAGAUAACAGCAG